UGCGCACUCAACUUCAGGAAACAUCAUUACCUGUGGGAAAUUUUAAAUGUGGCCGAUGUACUUUGUGUAAAUUUAUGCUAGAGGGGAAGGAGAUUUUUGUUAAGGAACGGAAACUGACAGUUAAACACUUUGCAUCAUGUUACACAUCGGGUGUGAUAUACUUACUUGAAUGUCCCUGUGCUCUUUUUUAUGUGGGUUGUACGAUAAGACCAUUGAAAACUAGGAUCUUUGAACAUAUGUCUAGAAUUAGGCACAGAGUAAUGGAAGCACCCCUGGUACAACAUUUUAUCGAGCAUCGUCAUGAAGAAAAUUCCUUUAAAGUAGCGGUACUGGAGGUUGUAACUAAGGGACAUGCAAAUCAAAUUAAGCUACUGAGGAGGGAAGCAUUUUGGAUUGUCUUUCUGCAGACGAUCAGACCGCACGGCCUCAAUACGGAACUAUCAUUGAAUUGUUUUUUAUAAUCAGUUAUGUUGCUUUAAAGUUUUGAGAUUGGAUAAUGAGUAUGUGAUUUAAACUGCAGUUGAAGGGUUUGGCCACAAGCAGGAGAAGAUACAGCUGCUGUGACUGUGAUACUGGAGACACACGUUUCCACAAUAAUUAUUGAUUCAAAUACCCUAUGCUGUGUGAAUACAACAGCUGAAUGCAUAUGAGAAGCUGUUUGGCUGAAUUUAUAUGAGAAGACUUUGUGAAGACUCAUCUGCAUACCGUGAUAUUACUGCGAUUAAGGAAUACACAUUGAGGAAUACACACAGAUGAUAGACUCUCUGGACAUCUUUAUUGGCUAUAUAUAAACAGUUUGUAUAAUUUUCGUGCAAUUGCCUUUGAAAUUACCUUAUAAUAUCAUAUAAAAAGUAUAUUAAUUCUU